ensembl:lncRNA
CGGGUGCCCCUGGGGCCUUCGGCCCUGCAAAACUGCUCCACACCCCUGGCCCCGCCUACCCGUGACCUCAACGCCACCUUCGACCUCUCUGAGGAGCCCCCCCUUGACACUCAGCUUCCAGGAACAGACUGGGCCCGGCCAGCCCUGCGUCGCCAGCAGGCCAGCAUUCCUGUUCACUGAGCGGGGGCCCAGGCCCACGACCUCCCUGCCCCGGACCUUGACCUGCAAGAAGAGGCGCCCAGUGAGUUCCUCCGCCCCCCUGGGCCGAAGCCGCAUUGCCCGCCUGCCCAGCAGCUCCUUGAAGAGGCCCGCGGGGGCCCUGGCCAUCCCAGAGCCGCCCUCGAGGCUGAAGACCCAGGAGAAGCCUGCCAGGGCUGGGGGCCGCGUCGCCCGGGUGUCCUGAUCCCUGGCUGCCCCCAGCCUGGGCACUCGGAGCCAGCACCCGGUCCUUGCCACCCGCCCUGUUGAUUCUGUUGCCACCCUCUUCCCUCGAGGGCGGUGCUCAGCCUCCCAGCAUGUUCUGGUGCCGUUCACGUGGGCAGUUUUGAGGGUGCUGCCUGCCCGGGCCACACCAGACACUGCAGUGGGGAGCAGACGGGCCUGGUGUGGCUCCUGGUAGCCCAGCGGGGCAUCCUCAGCCCUGGCUUUGAUCCACAGAGGAGGCUCUUCAUCUGCCCAGGGCGCACCCCCUGUGCGAGUCAUCCCCGCGCCUCCCUGGGUGUAAAUGCCAGUGCAUACGGGGUUGCACCCCGAUCUCCCGUCUGUGUACAGAACAGGCACACGUGGACACAGGUCCAUCCUUCCCACCGUGAUUAAUAAACCAGCUCUCUCUGGUUGAGAGCCUUUGGCACCUACACAGGGAGGACACUUCUACCCCGACCCCAGGGCGGAGCGGCUCCACACUCAGGCCCAUCCUGGAGCCCCACCUGCAUGGGGGACGGAGGGAUCCACACAGCUCCGCUCUCCACAAAGCCAGUGCCGGCUGAACGAAUUAACUAAACACGAUUACAGAAGCCUGUGUUGACUUGCUACUGAGCACAGACACAUUAAGGCUGUCUACCACAGGGUCAAGUCUCAGGUGGGCGACCACGCUGUUUGGGGGAGCAGCUGCCCACCGGCUGUGUCCGACUUGGUCCAAUCCCUCAAGGAGGAUGGGACAGCACCACACCAGCCAGCGCCACCGCAGAGUGCAUGGCUGGAAGAGGUGAAUGAGGAAGGCAGGAAGGCUCCUGGGGUGGAAGCAGCAGGCGCCUCUGCAUUCAUCCUGCCGCUGCUUCCCCUGUGCAGGGUGGUGCCCAGGGUGGCUGGAGCUUCGAGUCUGCACCCCUGGCAGCCUGGUGCAGCCCUGACCCUGGGUCCGCUGGUGUGGGCGAGAUGCAGACUGACUUCCAGGGCACCAAGGACCUCCUCCCUUGGGCAUCGGUGCUCCCCGCGUGGAGGCAGCAGGCAGGGUGCCAUGAAGGGGACAAGGGGCUGCCAUAGAGGUCGCCCCAACAGGCACUCCCGGUGCUGCUCACUCCGCAGACAUCUGUGGCUCUCAAGUGCAGCCCACGGUCUCCUGCUGACCAGCGACGCCCUCGACCUCAGGGUCGGCCCACAGCAGGCCUUCAUGGGCCUGAGGCCUGAGCCCAGCGGGGCGGCAGGAUGGGCUAACCUCCGCCGGGAGCCUGUGGAUCAGGUGGCUCCUGCUGGACCACCCCAGAUGGUGAUUGACACCCCGGCACAGUGCCCAGCUAUGUCUCCUCAGGCCGCACCCUGGCUCCCCACACUCCCCAAGCUCACCCGGGCCCAUCCUGGGGUCGAAUCUGCUUUUUGUAGGACCCAGCUUGGUGCUGGGAGCUGGGAACAGAAUGCAACUCAACCUUCCCAUGGGGUGGGGGCGGCGCCGAUCCCUGUGACAAAGGGAGCCAA